CGUAACGCGUAUAGAACUUACCUUUUACAGAGGGAUAGCCUUUAGAAAUGAAGAUUAAUACCUCAUAGCAUUGAGAUUUGGCAUCAAAUUUUAAUUAAAGAUUUAUCGGUAAAAGAUGGCUAUGCGUCCUAUUAGCUAGAUGGUGAGGUAACGGCUCACCAUGGCAACGAUAGGUAGGGGUCCUGAGAGGGAGAUCCCCCACACUGGUACUGAGACACGGACCAGACUCC
rnacentral:rRNA from 1 species